UUAAGAACAACAACAUAGCAACACAUGUAUUUUCUUCUUGAUCAAACUAAUUUUUUCUUUGUUGAUUUACUAUUUGCAUGUUUUAUUAUCUUCAUAUAAUCUUCAAUCACUUUCAAUGUUUGCUUCAGAUGCAUCAUCUUCAUCUAAUCGCAAGCGGUAUCUUUAUAUUCAUUCUUUCAAUUUUUCUUUAUUGCUCUCAUAUAUCUUUCUAAUAUUCGACUCCAUUACUUAACAAACCAGUUUUUUUUCUUAUUUGCAGAAAAGUUUAAAGCUCACCAUAACAAGUGGAUCUGGAUAAAUAAGUGGUAAUAUUAUUUUUUUAUGCCUUUACUCAUUUGCCUCCAUUUAUUUUCAUUGAUAUAUCGUCAAAAAUUAUCUUCAAAAAUAAAAACAGAAGCAUAUAUAAAAAAAAACUUCAUAAACCCAAAAUAAAAAUUAACAAAGCCAAAUCAAUUGUAUAGUGUGAGAAACAGAGCUUUUUUUCAAAGUUGUAGAAGAUUACAAUCAAACACAACAAAUAAAUUUUAAAAUAUAUUCAAGUCCAAACAACAGAAAUAGUAAUUUUUUUUAGAUCUACUGUAUUAAUUUUUUUUUUUACGAAGAAAAGAAAAAUCAAAAUAAAGGGAAGUAUUGAUAACAUAAUCAUUUACAUUAAUUCAAACCAUCUUAUUAUUUCUAAAAAAAAAAAUAUAUAUUUUGGUUAUAGCUGUGACAAAACUAAUAAAAGAAAUAUAAUUUUUUUUUGUUUUUUGUUUUAGUUCAUCAAUUGUAGUAGAUCUAAAAAAUAAUAGUGAAAGUAGAGAAAUAAUGAAUUAGAAAACAAUAUCAAAUCUAAAAUAAAUGAAUUAUUUUUUCAACCUAAUCUUUUAGAUCUUAUUAUAAAAAAGGUACAAUCAAACAUAAUUACCCUUUAACACAUGAAAAUAAAGACAGAAGAGGAUUCUGUAAUUUUCGAUGUGAUGGUUUCCGGUGCGGUGCUCUCCAGAACUGUGGUAUCCGGCGAAUGUAUUUUGAUCUUAAUUUUUUGUGGGUUUUGUAGAUCAGAUGGAGGAGAAUGAUUUUAUUGCGAUGAUUUUUCAAAAAGCUCUUUUAACUGAAAAUAUUUUUGAUCGAUACAAAAAAAGAGGAUGAAAAAUAAAUUUGCACUAAAAAUACAAAAAUAAAUAAAUAAAUUACAGUUUGUGAAACAUGAAGGGUUGAAAUCGAAAGAUUAAAUUUUUAUAUUUGUUGUUGUUGCAUGUAGAUGGAAGUGGAGAAGAAGUUGAGCACUUUGGUGCCAAGAUCUUGAAAUAAAAAGGUCCAAAAAGAGCUUACAUGAUCACUGUUACAGAUAUGACCAUAAAUUUCAUGGAUGAGCUUGAAGAUGACCAAAAAUGAUAUAUUUUUCGGCGGAAGUCUGACAUCAACUUCACAAUUUUGAAAAACUAAACACAUGUAAAGAGGGGAAAAAAAAGAUGAGAGGAAGAUAUUGAUAGUAUUAGUGUGGCCAUUUGAGACACCAAAGAUAUGGCUAGGGUUUGGGUUGUGGAUGCAAAGUUAACAAAAAUUAUAGAAAGUGAAAAUUGAGAAGUUAGAGAAAGAGAAUUAAUUGAAAAGGAAAGAGACAAUGAAAUCAUACGGAUUUCAAUGUGAUAACUCAUGGACUUCAAACCAAAAUUGAAUUAAGUUAAUUUUAAUUUUUUAAUAAAUAUAUAUGGGUGGUGGUGGUGUGGGUUACGGAUUCCAUACCUAAAGAGUAGAAAAUCUUAAACAAAAUUUAUAAUUUCCUAUGCAUGUG
rnacentral:lncRNA from 1 species